rnacentral:rRNA from 1 species
UCAGGAUGAACGCUAGCGGCAGGCUUAACACAUGCAAGUCGAGGGGCAUCGCGGGUGGCAACACCUGGCGGCGACCGGCGAACGGGUGAGUAACGCGUGAGCAACAUGUCCUCAGUCGGGGGAUAAGCGAGGGAAACUUCGUCUAAUACCCCAUAACACUUUCAGGCGCAUGCCUUUAAGUUGAAAGCUUUUUUUGCGACUUUGGUUUGGCUCGCGUGACAUUAGCUAGUCGGUGGGGUAACGGCUCACCGAGGCUACGAUGUCUAGGGGUUCUGAGAGGAAGGCCCCCCACAUUGGGACUGGGACACGGCCCAAACUCCUACGGGAGGCAGCAGUGAGGAAUAUUGGUCAAUGGACGGAAGUCUGAACCAGCCAUGCCGCGUGAAGGAAGACUGCCCUAUGGGUUGUAAACUUCUUUUGCAGCAGAGCAAUAAGGCGUACGUGUACGCCGAUGAGAGUAUGUUGCGAAUAAGCAUCGGCUAACUCCGUGCCAGCAGCCGCGGUAAUACGGAGGAUGCGAGCGUUAUCCGGAUUUAUUGGGUUUAAAGGGUGCGUAG